rnacentral:lncRNA from 1 species
GAGGUGGGGGGGGAGCAGAGGAGGCGCUGGGCUGGGGCUGGGGGGGCUUUUUCUUCUUUUUCACCCCCAUUUUUUUUAUUUUUUCUUAUUUAAAUCGCUGCGUUUCAUUACGAGGGAGCGCCAAAAAAUAAUAAUAAUAAAAAAAAAAUUAAAAAAAAAGUCAAAAAAAAAAAAAGUCAAAAAAAAAAAGUCAAAAAAAAAAAGUCAAAAAAAAAGUCGAAAAAAAAAUUAAAAAAAAAAUAUAAAAUAUUCCUUUGAUACACAAAAUCAAAUUGAUAUUUAGCCUCUGCUUACUUUUUUAUGCAUGGCUCCCUUCGCCGCGCGGUAGUGACAGAUUGUUUGAGCUGGGAGGAAAAGCCAUUCAGAGCUAAUUAAGCAGCCAUUCCGGGCACUAUUUGCAAGCGGGAGGCUGCAAAGCAGAGGCAUUUGUCAGCGCUCCGCCCCACGUGGCUUUGAUUGACAGCUCCGCCGCCCGAGUGGCAGCCGCGCCGCCGCCGCCCAAUGGGGUGGCGGGAGGAGACAGCGCCGUGCUCUGAUUGGUCGGAGGGGGGUUUGAGUGACAGCUGCCCCACGUGGGGUGGGGAGGCUCCGGGUGACGCGCGGCGCGGGAGCCAUUUUGUGCCGCCGGGAUGGGGCUGCGGGGCUCGGCCGGGAAUGGGGCCGGGAUGGGGACGGGAGCGGGGCUCCCCCGGGCACUGCGGGGCUGGGACCGGCGGUGGAGCCCGGUAGCUCCCUGAGAAGGGGUUCAGCGGGGCUCGCAGCCGCUCCCGGGGCUCUUUUUCCCUUUGUGCCAACCAUUUUCCCCGCGUUCAACCUCAAACAGCGUGAAAAAAUUUUAAAAUCGGGCAAAAAAACAAAAAAAACACCAAAAACCGGCAGCCCCGCAACCUCCCGCUCGGGGCCGUCCCGGUGCCGCCCGGUGGCGGGGCCGCCCCUCCCGCGCUGCCCAUUGUGACGUCCCUUACGGCGGCGUCCAAUCAGCGGCCUCCCCCUCCGCCCCCACGUGGGUUCCCCGCGUUGCUAUUGGCUGCCUGGCCUCCGAGGCCGCCCGGGCUGCUGGCCCCGCCCAGCGGCGGGCGCGCUNNNNNNNNNNCUUCCCCUCGGCCCCCCCAAGCCCAGCAUGGCCCGAGGAGCCCCGGCGCCGCCGCCGCCGCCGUUCCGGAGCUGAACCGAGAGCCGGGAGGAGCGGAGCGGAGCGGCCGGUGCCGUCGCUCGGAUGUGUACGGCCUUCUCCCCCUCCUCCUCCUCUCCUCCAUGGCCGUCGUGCUCCGCCUUCUCGGCCUCUCCGGGAGCGCUCCGUGGCCGGCGGGCAGCAGCGCACGUCGCGAUCGUCGCGGCUGGCUCCAGUGACCGCGCCCCAGCCCGGCCAUGUACCCCCAGGGCCGGCACCCGGUGAGUCCCGGACCCCCCCUUCCCUUGGCUGAGCUUCCCCCAAUUCCCUUUUUCCCACCCCA